rnacentral:lncRNA from 1 species
AACAUGGUAAAACCCCUUCUCUACUAAAAAUACAAAAAUUAGCCGGGUGUGGUGGCGGGCGACUGUAAUCCCAGCUACUCAGGAAGUUGAGGCAGGAGAAUCGCUUGAACCCGGAAGACGGAGGUUGCAGUGAGCUGAGAUCGUGCCAUUGCACUCCAGCCUGGGCGACAGAGCAAGACUCCAUCAAAAAAAAAAAAAAAAAAAAAAAAAACCUCGAUUUUGGCAGCCAUGAAUAUUAGAGAACUAUCAAAAGGAUUUAUAGAGGAGAAAGUUAAUGUUUUCAAUUAUUUUAAGUAUUCAGCUUAUUUUUCUCUGCCACGAAGAGUAGUCAAACUUAACCUAAAACCUCUCUCUGCUCCUUGUGAUAUUAUCACUCCCAUGCAGAGAUAAAGGAAUGUUCGAGACAGGGUCUCGCUCUGUCACCCAGGCUGGAGUGCAGUGGUGCAAUCACAACUCACAGCAGCCUCGACCUCCCACGCUGAAGUGAUUCUUCCAUCUCAGCCCUCCGAGUAGCUGCAACAACAGAUCGUGCCCCCAUGCCAGCUAAUUUUUGUAUUUUUUGUAGAGACAGGGUUUCACCAUGUUGCCCAGGCUGGUCUUGAACUCUUAAACUCAAGCUAUCCUCCCACCUCAGCCUCCCAAAGUGUUGGGACUACAGGCACGAACCGCUGCACCUGGGCAAGAAAAUUACUCUUGAAGAGAUGUAGCGACUUGCACUGUCGGUGAUAUGGUUACCGAACUAGUAACUGAUGGGGCUGAAAAUUCAGAACUUAAGUCUUGCCAUCUCUUUCUAUGUUAGGCACUGACAUAGGCUUACAGUAAAAUGCUCACUGAAAGCUCCUUUAUUGUACUGCAAUAAGUGAUAAACAAUAGGAGUAUCUGGGAUACUGUGGGGACCUAGGGAAAGAGCCAAGUAUUGCAGGACUAGCAGGCCAUGAACCAGGAGAGGAAGGAGUUCCUUAUAAAGGAUAUAGCAAGUAGGAAGUAAACAUCUAGAGAGCAGCAGUUUGGGGUGACUGGCCACAGGAUAGUUUCUUCAGCAACAAUGCUAAUGGGUGUUUCUUAGGAAAUGAAGAAAAGAUAGAAGAUCGAACCUGUCAAAAAACUAUAUGAAUAUGUUCUAUUAUACCAGAUGUAGUGCUUUUUACAUCCUCUUAACAGCAGGGAGGCUGUAUACAAGUGAAAAAAUAAAAUUUAAGUGGCCUAGAAUGCUCAAGUUGGCUGAUCAGUGCAUUGUCUGCCAACUUGAGAGUACUGAAACAAUAUCAAAUGAUUGCUUGGCGAGUACUCAUUCUUUCAUUGUGCAAAAUAUUGCUUACUAAGUACUUACUCUCUUCCAGGAAUUGUGCUAGGGGCUGGGGACACAACAAUCUAGUGACCUCAAAGGAGAGAAAGUUAAUCAUUAGACAAGCUAUUAUUUCAUAGCGUGAGAUGAGAAAUAAAGGAAUUUGGGUGCUUUAUGAGCUUCACAAUCAGCUGCUUACCAUAGACCUGAGGUUGAGACUUCCUAGAGAAAGUGAUGAUGGCUGAGUGGGGACCUAAAGGAGUAGGAAUGAGCCAAGGAAAUUAGAUGAAACAGUGCC